GCGUUAUGUGAAAAGCUAGAUGGAAAAAAACUAUAUGUGUUUUCAGAUAAAUCUGAUAUGAUUCCUUGGUUCAGUGUAGCCUUCAAUCUUGUUCGUUGCCGGUAGCAAAACCCGCUAAACCAGAGAGGCUGAUUUCAAGAGUCAGAUAGAUGACGACCGCUUUAGGAGAUGGACAAAUCAAUCCGGAUGUCAAACUCAGAUUGGAGCGAAUGGAAAUUUCACUCUGGAUGAUGUUCAAAUAUUAGGACACGCCCUGCUUCCCGUUUGGCGACGUGGAGAUAUAAAAAUCUAAGCUGCCACCCACUGGAAUCUUAGAACUAGAUUGAAAUGAUUCGCAGUGCAAAUUUUGUGUACCUAUGUGUAUUUAUUGUUCAUUGACAACUGAAACUGAAAUUUUAUGAAUAAAACAUACUAAACAAGUAAGUACAUGUAGGAAAAUCUCACUUCAGUUGAAACUUUUGUAGCUAACGUAAGAUGUACACGAUACUUCCGGAACAUUUCAGUAAUUCAUGAAAAAGUAACGUAUUCUGUAAAAGUUUUAACUGAAGUGAGAUUGUUCUAACUGUAUUUACUUGUUUUAUUGUAUCCAACUCA